rnacentral:lncRNA from 1 species
GAGUGAGAAAGAGAAGAAUAUGAAUUAAAAAAUAUUAAAAAUGAAAUGGGAAAAUUGAAUAACAAUCAUCGUCGUAAAAUAAAGCACAGAUCAUCGUCGAACUUCACAACGGCUCUACAGGUGAAGCGUGUGAAUUGAAAGUGAUGAAACAAAAUUGAACAUUUAGAAUAAAUAAAUUAAUUCAUAACAAAAUCAUGGAGAUAACAUAAGCCAAAAGUGAUGAAACUAUGUUACCCAAAACAAAACAAAAAAAAGAUGAUUCAACUAUUUCUCUUCCCUCUUCUUCCGUUGUAGCACUACUACUUUUCUUACCCUAAUCAUACUCAAGCAACAACUCAACUACAUAAAAGUUAAGCUAAAUAUGCAGAACAUGAUAAUCAGCAUUUGGGCCUUUUGUUUAAGCCAUAAGCAAGUAAACCGUCGUCGCCCAUAUGCCAAACCAUCCUUGCCUUCUCUCUCUACACACACACACACACUCUCUCUCUUGGGUCGAGAAUCAAAUUGAAAAACCCACCUGCCAGAUUAAAGAAAGAGGGAGCAAGGAAUUUACUCUUUGAAUCAUCGAGACAAUGUUAGGAAGAUAAACCAUGCGUGUUAUAUAAAUUAUCAGCAAUGAUAAAUAAAAAAUGUCAAAGUAAGAGUCAAUACAAUCAAAUAGGCUACUCAUGAGGCGAGAAAGAAGUUGGAACAAGGUAGAAUGGUGAGCCAAAAGUAUAGAUAUUUAAGAAAAAUGCGUAAUCCACAAUUAAAUGGAACAAAUAAACGAUGACAGAAAUCACUUACCAUGGUCAUAGUUAUCUGUUUAGUACUAUCUUCAAGGUGCUUUCAAAUGCGAACAGUCUGGUCAUUAACUCUUUUAUAGAUUAAUUUCUACUAAACAAUCAUUAACUCUCUCUCUCUCUCUCUCUCUCUCUCUCUCUCUCUCUCUCGUGCCACAACCCCCGUCUCAUGGCCAACCUCUCCAUCCCCUCACAGUCACACGAAACAACCCAACCUGCUCCGCCUCGGCCAACCUCCCCUAGCAUAAACCCCACGAGCACAAAAUAACUAAUACCAGUUUAAUUGAAGCAAUUAAGAAAUGACCAAUGAAACAUCAUCAUAAAGUUUUCAAUGAAAGGUGAAAAAGGCACCAAUUGUAUUAGGAGGAAAAUAUAUCAGAAAGUGCAACUGUGAAAUAGAGAAAAGAAAGAGAGUAAUAUACCUCUGAAAAUGGU